rnacentral:misc_RNA from 1 species
GGAGAGGAGAGGUGGAGGAAAGAGAUAUUUUAAGUUGCUUGCGUAGGGUGAAAAUAGCGGGAGAGAGAAUGAGGAGAAAGAGACUUUCUUUUGUUUGACAACCAAGAGAGUUUCAAGGAAAAAACAAAUUAGUUCUUGAAAGUUAAAACUGCUGUUGUAUCCUUCAUUUUUUUUUUUUAACCAGAAUAUAUCCAUCAUUCAUUUAUAAGCUAUAAUGCAUUAUGAUUGAUCACAUCAGAGUAACAUAAUAAAGGAGAAUACCACAAAAUAAAUAAAUAAAUAAAGCAGUUUUGUUCAGAAUAUAACCAGAUUUUUUUUUUUUAAUUUCUAUCAAUUUUUGCAGUGUGUUUGGAGAUGCCUUGCAACAUAUGGCUAAUUAUACAAAAACCCUAAUUAGAUUUUUG